rnacentral:rRNA from 1 species
CCUACGGGUGGCAGCAGUGGGGAAUAUUGCACAAUGGGGGAAACCCUGAUGCAGCGAAGCCGCGUGAAGGACGAAGUCUUUCGGUACGUAAACUUCUAUCAGCAGGGAAGAAAAUGACGGUACCUGCCCACUAAGCCCCGGCUAACUACGUGCCAGCCGCCGCGGUAAUACGUAGGGGGCAAGCGUUAUCCGGAUUUACUGGGUGUAACGGGAGCGUAGACGGCCAUGCAAGUCUGAUGUGAAAACCCGGGGCUCAACCCCGGGACUGCAUUGGAAACUGGGCGGCUGGAGUGUCGGAGAGGCAAGUGGAAUUCCUAGUGUAGCGGUGAAAUGCGUAGAUAUUAGGAGGAACACCAGUGGCGAAGGCAGCUUACCAAGCUACAUCUGACGUUGAGGCACGAAAGCGUGGGGAGCAAACAGGAUUAGAUACCCCUGUAGUC